rnacentral:tRNA from 1 species
GUCGCGAUAAGAAUAAAAAAGGAAGUUCGCUGGGGUAACUCCCUGAGGUGCUGGUUCAAAUCCAGCUCGUGACA